rnacentral:rRNA from 1 species
GCUAACUUCGUGCCAGCAGCCGCGGUAAUACGAAGGGGGCUAGCGUUGUUCGGAAUUACUGGGCGUAAAGCGCACGUAGGCGGACAUUUAAGUCAGGGGUGAAAUCCCGGGGCUCAACCCCGGAACUGCCUUUGAUACUGGGUGUCUCGAGUCCGGAAGAGGUGAGUGGAAUUCCGAGUGUAGAGGUGAAAUUCGUAGAUAUUCGGAGGAACACCAGUGGCGAAGGCGGCUCACUGGUCCGGUACUGACGCUGAGGUGCGAAAGCGUGGGGAGCAAACAGGAUUAGAUACCCUUGUAGUC